rnacentral:rRNA from 1 species
UACAGAGGAGCCAAGCGUUGUCCGGAUUGACUGGGCGUAAAGCGCACGCAGGCGGUUGCGCGCGUGGGGUGUGAAAUCUGGCCGCUUAACGGCCAGGCGCCAUCCCAUACGGCGCGACUGGAGUGAUGCAGAGGUCGAUGGAAUUGCCGGUGUAGUGGUGAAAUGCGUAGAGAUCGGCAGGAACACCCAGGGGGGAAACCAGUCGACUGGGCAUCUACUGACGCUGAGGUGCGAAAGCGUGGGGAGCAAACGGGG